rnacentral:lncRNA from 1 species
AUGAACAUAAAUUCGUGAUCAUCUAAGCUUGGAAAUCAUGAGUUUGAUACUUGACAAGCUAGAUGGGGGCUUGGGGAAGAAACGGGUCAAACGAAUCAAGAACGAGGGAAAAAGCAUAAUUAGAUGCAAGGUGAUAGCUAGGACCUUAUGGAUGACGAUCAAGCAUUGUGGUUAAACCGAAAACACAACCGAAGUUCAAGCUUCCGCUUAGUUUCGUUAUUUUACGAACUGAAUCAAUUAUGAACUUUAUAAAGGUCACAUUGAAUUCAAUCAGAUACGUCGAAAUGUGAUGGUUAACGCAUCACAUAACAUUUGGACUAAUCCAUUCAACAUUUACGAUAUACCGGUACCACAACAUGCGCGGGUCUUAUUGCUAGUUGUAUAAAAUAAUGUAACAUCCCAUUUCAGGAUUUACAUUAGACUGGAAAAUGGGAGUUGUAGUUUAGGACCAAGAUGUAAAGGACCAAACUAUAAGGAUUAAUUGUGUAAUUUAACCACUUUGGUUAU